rnacentral:rRNA from 1 species
UACGUAGGGGGCUAGCGUUGUCCGGAUUUAUUGGGCGUAAAGAGCUCGUAGGCGGUCUGUCGCGUCGGUCGUGAAAACUUGGGGCUUAACCCUGAGCUUGCGGUCGAUACGGGCAUGACUGGAGUUCGGCAGGGGAGACUGGAAUUCCUGGUGUAGCGGUGAAAUGCGCAGAUAUCAGGAGGAACACCGGUGGCGAAGGCGGGUCUCUGGGCCGAUACUGACGCUGAGGAGCGAAAGCGUGGGGAGCGAACAGG